rnacentral:misc_RNA from 1 species
AGAGACGUUGCCUCGGGUAUACCUCCCACCCUUGUUAUUAUACCUUUAAUUGCUUGGCCCGUCUCGGACCCGGACUUCUGGUCAGGCCCGCCAGAGGACCUAAACCUCUGAUUUGUUAAUAUUGUCUGAGUAGCUAUAUAAAUAGAUCA